UACGUAGGCAGCGAGCGUUGUUCGGAGUUACUGGGCGUAAAGGGCGCGUAGGCGGCACUGUUAGUCAGGCGUGAAAGUCCUGGGCUCAACCUGGGAACUGCGCUUGAUACGGCAGAGCUAGAGGAUGGAAGAGGCUCGCGGAAUUCCCAGUGUAGAGGUGAAAUUCGUAGAUAUUGGGAAGAACACCGGUGGCGAAGGCGGCGAGCUGGUCCAUUACUGACGCUGAGGCAUGAAAGCGUGGGGAGCAAACAGG
rnacentral:rRNA from 1 species